UGAUUUCAAGUUUGUUUACUUAUGCAUUGUUAUGACUUUGAAUCCAAGAUGAAUAAUAUUGGAAUGGUUUUAGAUAGUUUUACUGUAAAACCAUUAGAUGUACUUAAUGGUUUUGUCUUUGAAUCCAAGAUGAAUAAUUAUUGAGUUCAACUUUUGAAUUGUUUCUGAGUUUUGUCAUAGAGUAGGAUACUUUAUCAUUACUCUUUUUGCAGCAACUAUAUUUAAUAUUCAUGAUAGUGGAAUAGCUUAAUUAAUAAUUUCAAUAUUCCAAUAUAUGUUCUCCUCAUGUCGUGAAGAUAUAAAACUCAUCUCGUGGUGAUGGGGUUGAGUCGGCGGAAGAUUUUCCUUUCUUUGUUCCUGGAAAUUGUUUAAUGCGAUGAUUUUGGCUUGUUCUUGUAACUGGUUUUUAGUUUUUAGGAGGCCUGUUUUGAUUUGUAAAUUGUAGUGUAAGUGAAAGGUCUAUAUUUUGCUCUUUGGAGUCUUUGUAUAAGUGUUGUUCUGCUAUUUUUUAUGUUUAAUUCGAUGAUUUUGGCUUGUUCUUGUAACUGGUUUUUAGUUUUUAGGAGGCCUGUUUUGAUUUGUAAAUUGUAGUGUAAGUGCAAGGUCUAUAUUUUGCUCUAUGGAGCCUUUGUAUAAGUGUUGUUCUGCUAUUUUUCAGUUUUGGUCUUCUGUGAUAUUGUGUUUUAGGCACUAAGGAAUGAACCUUGUUUUUUUCCCCUUGCACUACCUCAGGUCAUUUGGCAAGAAGCUGUAAUGUUUCCAUUGAACUUGUAUGCCUUAAUUAAUAAUUCUUUAGUACUAUAUUAGAGAAAUGAAUUGCAAUAGCAUUAUUCUUGGUAAAUAGUGUAAAUACUUGAUAUGAAACCAUUACUCUUGGUAAAUGGUUUCAGUGUAUAACUUGCUGAAACCAUAAAACCAUACUUAUGGUUUCAAUGUUUGUACACCUAGUCUGAAAUGACGAUGUUACAUAGCAUUUGAAUACUGUAAAUUUGUGGGUUUGUUGACUUAAUCAUCAGUAGGUUUUAUUAUGAUUUAUGAAUGUAUUUUAUGAUACUUACAGUUUUACCAAUAGUGCAUACUCUUCUAUUCAAUUACAUGCAAAGAUACCUGAUGCUUUAUGAUAUGCAUGGAUUUUGUUUUUGAUUUUGAUUUUGAUUUAGCAUUAUGUUUUGUCUGAAACCAUUAGGCAAGUAUUUUGGUUACACAUUAUUCUUAUAUUCUACUUUGAUUUUGAUUCUGAUAUGCUAAACCAUUUUGAUUUUGAUUCUGAUAUGCUACAAGCUUGUAUUAAUUCUGGAAUUUAGCAUUAUGUUUUGCCUGAAACCAUUAGGCAAAAGCUUGUAUUAAUCAUGCAAAAUCUGUGGGUUUGUUGACUUAAUCAUUAGUAGGCUUUAUUAUGAUUUAUGAAUGUAUUUUAUGAUACUUACAGUUUUACCAAUAGUGCAUACUUACAGUUUUGAAAAUGAUUUCAGUAGUUUAUACACUGAAACCAUUACUCUUGGUAAAUGGUUUCANNNNNNNNNNNNNNNNNNNNNNNNNNNNNNNNGUGAAUGUGUUCUGUGUUUUGUAUAGUGAAUGUGUUCUGUGUUUGGUUUCAGUGGGAAUAUGUGAUAUGAUAAUGUUCCACAAUUUUUAACUCACUGCAGCAAUUCAAAAGCGGAAUAUGUGGUAAACAAAGCAACUUCUUACUAUCAAGAAAUGGCUCAAAAGCUGCAACAUGAUGUCUAGGUUCUAGAUGGUGUCUUACUUAGUUUUUGGAUUUGUAUAUAGAUAAAUUUCUGAAUUUCUUGUUAUGUUAGUUUAUGAUAGAUUUCUGAAUUUUUGAAUUUUUGAAAAUGCCUUGCUCAAAUAGGUUCUAGAGGAUAUAAUGAGUGACCAAGAGUCAGAGACCAGGUUGAAACUUUUUCAUGUAUUCAUUGUUGGUUCAUGUCUUAUUUCCCAAUUUGGUGGAGAAGACAUAUUUGUUAUUUAUUAUGAGUUAUGUCAUUUUGAUAUUAUUGAGCAUGACUAUUAUACACCAAAAAGGAAGAAUCUGACUUUCACAUUGUUGAAAAUCAGUAAUCUAUCAUUUUCAUUUUACUUGCAGUUUGAAUAAAGAUGAGCACUCAUAUUAACUGUAGAAUGUGAUAUAUUUGAGAUGAAGUUCUGCGAUUGUUGUGUUUAUCUAUUGGUGGGUUAUAUACUCAUAUUACUUGUAGUUUGGAUAAAGAUGAGCACUCAUAUUAACUGAAACCAUUACUCUU
rnacentral:lncRNA from 1 species